GCCCCUGUAGUGAAAUGGAUAUCACGCGACGCUUCGAACGUCGUAUUGUGGGUUCGAGUCCUGCCGGGGGCA
rnacentral:tRNA from 1 species